rnacentral:lncRNA from 1 species
ACAAGGCGCCAGCGGCGAGCACUGGCUUGCUUCACAGUGAACGCCUUCGUUGCCUGGCGACUAGUCCCUGCGGCUUAGCGGAGAGGGGGCGUCGGCGUUGGGCUCUCGCCUGUCUUCUCUGGGGGGAUCCUCGGGAUACUCCCACGAUCUAGGACAGGGCAGGGGCGAGCCAGCCUGAGGAAACGUCAAGGGAAGGCCCAGGGAUACACCGCGAAAUCCCUAAGAAUCCAAAAGGAUCCGCAGGAGGCGUCAGGCCUGCCUAGACGGAGUGGGUAGCACUUAGCACCUGCCCGCCCUCCACCUUCUCCACCACCCAGCAGGAGCGGGGCGGCCUGGAUCUGUUUUCUGCCCCUGACCAGGGGGCCGCGUCUUCGGCAAAGUCUUCGGGGUGAGAGGUCCGGCUCCUGGAGGACAGCGGGAUGGGAGAGUCCCGUUCACACCCAGCCCCGCAGAGCCGGAUAGAAACGCUGCCACUGCCGACUCCAUGCUGCCGGGAAGUGCACUGUGGAGGCCACUUUCUGGAAAGAAGAAACCGUCUGAACACAAAGUUGCUCAAGCCAUGUUCAUCU